rnacentral:rRNA from 1 species
AGCGUACACGGUGGAUGCCCUGGCAGUCAGAGGCGAUGAAGGACGUGCUAAUCUGCGAUAAGCGUCGGUAAGGUGAUAUGAACCGUUAUAACCGGCGAUUUCCGAAUGGGGAAACCCAGUGUGUUUCGACACACUAUCAUUAACUGAAUCCAUAGGUUAAUGAGGCGAACCGGGGGAACUGAAACAUCUAAGUACCCCGAGGAAAAGAAAUCAACCGAGAUUCCCCCAGUAGCGGCGAGCGAACGGGGAGCAGCCCAGAGCCUGAAUCAGUGUGUGUGUUAGUGGAAGCGUCUGGAAAGGCGCGCGAUACAGGGUGACAGCCCCGUACACAAAAAUGCACAUGCUGUGAGCUCGAUGAGUAGGGCGGGACACGUGGUAUCCUGUCUGAAUAUGGGGGGACCAUCCUCCAAGGCUAAAUACUCCUGACUGACCGAUAGUGAACCAGUACCGUGAGGGAAAGGCGAAAAGAACCCCGGCGAGGGGAGUGAAAAAGAACCUGAAACCGUGUACGUACAAGCAGUGGGAGCACGCUUCGGCGUGUGACUGCGUACCUUUUGUAUAAUGGGUCAGCGACUUAUAUUCUGUAGCAAGGUUAACCGAAUAGGGGAGCCGAAGGGAAACCGAGUCUUAACUGGGCGUUAAGUUGCAGGGUAUAGACCCGAAACCCGGUGAUCUAGCCAUGGGCAGGUUGAAGGUUGGGUAACACUAACUGGAGGACCGAACCGACUAAUGUUGAAAAAUUAGCGGAUGACUUGUGGCUGGGGGUGAAAGGCCAAUCAAACCGGGAGAUAGCUGGUUCUCCCCGAAAGCUAUUUAGGUAGCGCCUCGUGAAUUCAUCUCCGGGGGUAGAGCACUGUUUCGGCAAGGGGGUCAUCCCGACUUACCAACCCGAUGCAAACUGCGAAUACCGGAGAAUGUUAUCACGGGAGACACACGGCGGGUGCUAACGUCCGUCGUGAAGAGGGAAACAACCCAGACCGCCAGCUAAGGUCCCAAAGUCAUGGUUAAGUGGGAAACGAUGUGGGAAGGCCCAGACAGCCAGGAUGUUGGCUUAGAAGCAGCCAUCAUUUAAAGAAAGCGUAAUAGCUCACUGGUCGAGUCGGCCUGCGCGGAAGAUGUAACGGGGCUAAACCAUGCACCGAAGCUGCGGCAGCGACGCUGAUGCGUUGUUGGGUAGGGGAGCGUUCUGUAAGCCUGCGAAGGUGUGCUGUGAGGCAUGCUGGAGGUAUCAGAAGUGCGAAUGCUGACAUAAGUAACGAUAAAGCGGGUGAAAAGCCCGCUCGCCGGAAGACCAAGGGUUCCUGUCCAACGUUAAUCGGGGCAGGGUGAGUCGACCCCUAAGGCGAGGCCGAAAGGCGUAGUCGAUGGGAAACAGGUUAAUAUUCCUGUACUUGGUGUUACUGCGAAGGGGGGACGGAGAAGGCUAUGUUGGCCGGGCGACGGUUGUCCCGGUUUAAGCGUGUAGGCUGGUUUUCCAGGCAAAUCCGGAAAAUCAAGGCUGAGGCGUGAUGACGAGGCACUACGGUGCUGAAGCAACAAAUGCCCUGCUUCCAGGAAAAGCCUCUAAGCAUCAGGUAACAUCAAAUCGUACCCCAAACCGACACAGGUGGUCAGGUAGAGAAUACCAAGGCGCUUGAGAGAACUCGGGUGAAGGAACUAGGCAAAAUGGUGCCGUAACUUCGGGAGAAGGCACGCUGAUAUGUAGGUGAAGCGACUUGCUCGUGGAGCUGAAAUCAGUCGAAGAUACCAGCUGGCUGCAACUGUUUAUUAAAAACACAGCACUGUGCAAACACGAAAGUGGACGUAUACGGUGUGACGCCUGCCCGGUGCCGGAAGGUUAAUUGAUGGGGUUAGCGGUAACGCGAAGCUCUUGAUCGAAGCCCCGGUAAACGGCGGCCGUAACUAUAACGGUCCUAAGGUAGCGAAAUUCCUUGUCGGGUAAGUUCCGACCUGCACGAAUGGCGUAAUGAUGGCCAGGCUGUCUCCACCCGAGACUCAGUGAAAUUGAACUCGCUGUGAAGAUGCAGUGUACCCGCGGCAAGACGGAAAGACCCCGUGAACCUUUACUAUAGCUUGACACUGAACAUUGAGCCUUGAUGUGUAGGAUAGGUGGGAGGCUUUGAAGUGUGGACGCCAGUCUGCAUGGAGCCGACCUUGAAAUACCACCCUUUAAUGUUUGAUGUUCUAACGUUGACCCGUAAUCCGGGUUGCGGACAGUGUCUGGUGGGUAGUUUGACUGGGGCGGUCUCCUCCUAAAGAGUAACGGAGGAGCACGAAGGUUGGCUAAUCCUGGUCGGACAUCAGGAGGUUAGUGCAAUGGCAUAAGCCAGCUUGACUGCGAGCGUGACGGCGCGAGCAGGUGCGAAAGCAGGUCAUAGUGAUCCGGUGGUUCUGAAUGGAAGGGCCAUCGCUCAACGGAUAAAAGGUACUCCGGGGAUAACAGGCUGAUACCGCCCAAGAGUUCAUAUCGACGGCGGUGUUUGGCACCUCGAUGUCGGCUCAUCACAUCCUGGGGCUGAAGUAGGUCCCAAGGGUAUGGCUGUUCGCCAUUUAAAGUGGUACGCGAGCUGGGUUUAGAACGUCGUGAGACAGUUCGGUCCCUAUCUGCCGUGGGCGCUGGAGAACUGAGGGGGGCUGCUCCUAGUACGAGAGGACCGGAGUGGACGCAUCACUGGUGUUCGGGUUGUCAUGCCAAUGGCACUGCCCGGUAGCUAAAUGCGGAAGAGAUAAGUGCUGAAAGCAUCUAAGCACGAAACUUGCCCCGAGAUGAGUUCUCCCUGACUCCUUGA